AGGACCACAAGAAACACAGCAUCAGCCAGCCACAGCAGACAUUAUUGUUACCUUGGAGAAAAUCAGCUCAAAGAUUGGUUCCUCCUGUGCAGACUUCCCAAGAACAUCCACUAUGCAGCUUAUUUCUGCCUUUAUGCCCUCGCACAACAAAGUUUGUUUCAAUGAUUGAGCUGGUUGGAAGACUGGAAGCAAAAACAGUGGUGAUGACAGAGUGAAGGAAACCUACAGACCCCAGAAAUUUGCCCAGGAAAAAAAGAAAAGAAAAAUAUUAAAUUAGCGAUGUACCUAUUUCUCCUGGAUGUUAGGCAACUCACUCGAGACAGGAGCUUCAACUGAGGAUUGCAGGGAAAUACCAUCACCUGUACCCAGGUCUUGGGCACACCGUGGCGUGUGCCUGCAUUGCUGCCCCAGUUCUGACAGAUGAAGAAAAGAAAAUGAAGAAUUAAAAAAAGAUGGGGAAACACCUCUGCUUGCUCAAGAUCUGUUCACAGGCUGUGUCUCUCCUCCUUCCCUGAUGGGAUGCCUUUAGGUGAGCUCUGUGCCUCCAAAUGUGUUGGAGCAGACCUGUGAAUACUUUUAUUUAUAUAAUCUGCAUCUUCAUCAUGUUACUUCUGUCACAAUACAUAGUAAUGCUCUGAAAGUUAGUGCAUUUAUCACCAGCAAUCCUGGAUCUCCUUUCCUGUUGCUUCAAUAAACCAUAGUAUUUGUGGAUCUGGAUUGUGAAAGUUCCUAU